UUGGGAUAAUCCAAUGGUUGUGUGCAGAGAGAACAGCGACACAAGAGUCUUCCAGCUUUUACCACCUUGUGAAUUCUAUGUAUUUAUUAUUCCCUUUGAAAUGGAAGGGGACACAACAGAGAUACCCGGGGGUCUUCCAUCUGUAUAUCAGAAAGCACUGGGUCAAAGAGAACAGAAGAUACAGAUCUGGCAGAAAACUGUGAAGGAGGCUCAUUUGACAAAGUGAGGAAACCGAAGAACUGAGGAAUUAAGUACUUUACCCAAAGUCACACAGGAGCCAGGAUUCACACCUAAUCAACCUGGUUCCAGAGGUUCUUUUUUUUUCUCUGUUCUGACUUCUUAGUAACCAGAGGUUCUUAAAUGCCUCUAGUGUCUUCAUUGUUUUCUUUCAAAUAUUGUCAUACCAUAUCAUACUGUACAAUAAUAACAUUAUAAUAAUGUGUUGUAAAAAUGGAUGAUCAUGAAAAAACAUUCUUUUAAAGC
rnacentral:sRNA from 1 species